UAUAAGCUUAUAGUUUAAAAAACUAUAUACAAUGAUUCCUAAUUUGAUGCCAAUAGCUCGUGUGAGCAUCCACAGUGAUGGGUUCUUGUGCGGAUUAUCAGAGGCAGCAGCACCGUCGUGGAGUACAUGUACAUCAAUGUCGACGGUGCCGGCAGCAACGACACAAGGUGGGCGAUUUGACCAGCGCAACAUUCUUAUUUGAGGAGCUGUGCGCAGUUCUGAAAAAAUUAAGUUGUGCUUGGUGACAUGCCUCAUUUCUGUGGUUGAAUAUUUGUGUUACCAUUUUCUCCCUUGCUGUGGAAAGCCACCAGCUUCAGGGAGUGCCAGGCUUCCACACAGCCAGAACAGACGCCACCUUUGGCAGCGAGCGUGAGGAUUUGGCUUGUCGAUACGAGUGAUAGCAGCGCCAUCUGCAGAUUCCGCAGAUUCGAGCUGUAGCGGAAGCUGCCAGGCUGCCGAGAUGAAGAUGGAGCCGCUGCGGCGCUGCGCCUCCAAGCUGUCGGGCCGCCAAGAUGCAGUUGGAGCCGCAGUGCCUCCGAGCUGCAGUGGGAGCCACUCCCCCGUCAAGCUACAGCGUGAUCCGCUGUGAAGAUGGAGCCUAGCGUGAGCCGCCUCCACCAGGUCCUUUCUCGAGUACAGUGGGGAGAGGAAGAGGAUGAACUGGUCGAUGGAAUCAAGGCUAACAGUCCACCACGUGGUUAUCUCCGGCAUUAUAUGUCCAGACUCCAGAGUGUGGUUUUUUGCCACAAUGGCACGGUUGUAAAUUUAUCUUUGGUGCUAAUUUGUACUUUAUGUAACUGGUAUAAUCUUUAUUGUUUCAUCAAAUUUAUUCCCACUUAUCUUAA